rnacentral:rRNA from 1 species
UGGGGAAUAUUGCACAAUGGGCGCAAGCCUGAUGCAGCCAUGCCGCGUGUGUGAAGAAGGCCUUCGGGUUGUAAAGCACUUUCAGCGGGGAGGAAGGCGAUAAGGUUAAUAACCUUGUCGAUUGACGUUACCCGCAGAAGAAGCACCGGCUAACUCCGUGCCAGCAGCCGCGGUAAUACGGAGGGUGCAAGCGUUAAUCGGAAUUACUGGGCGUAAAGCGCACGCAGGCGGUCUGUCAAGUCGGAUGUGAAAUCCCCGGGCUUAACCUGGGAACUGCAUUCGAAACUGGCAGGCUAGAGUCUUGUAGAGGGGGGUAGAAUUCCAGGUGUAGCGGUGAAAUGCGUAGAGAUCUGGAAGAAUACCGGUGGCGAAGGCGGCCCCCUGGACAAAGACUGACGCUCAGGUGCGAAAGCGUGGGGAGCAAACAGG